AGAAUAAAAUGUAUGCAAACCUCAUGAACAGUGGAUCCAGGGAAUGCAUGUGAAGCAUCUUUUAAAUCAACCCCAGCAUAAGUAUAUUCCAAAAAUUGCCAGUAUUCAUCAAUGGCAUCUCUGUUUGAGAGAACAAACUCAUGUCUGAUCAUCUCAUCCAUAACAUGUCUGUCUGGGCAAAGAUCAAGAGAUCCAAAAUUUGAACAUGCUAUGAGUAAUGUUGGUUCCUCUAUAUAAGGCUUAAGCUCCAGGGAAUAGACAGGACUGGCAUGCAAAGAAGUGACUCCAUCAUCAGAACUUCCGCUAUUUACCCGCCGAAUCAACUAUGCAUAAGUAUCAAAGUUUAGGCUUGAUACUAGGAAUAUAUAUAUAAUAAAAGAAUAUAAAGGAGUUGACUGAAAAAGAAUUUGUAAAUGAAUGAUAAUUUAUGCUUUCAAAUCUAAGACAAGUGGUGUACAGCAUGUAACAAUCUAUUAAUCAUCAUAGUAUAUAUAGCUCUAUAACAACCUAUACAAUGUUUACUUUUCCAUAUAUCUAGAAGUAGCACAUCGUUGAGUACUAGAAUUGUCAAAAAUGUUCAUUUCAUGAAUCUAAAAGUAAAUAGCAUCAACAUACAUAAUCAUCUUAAUGUUGCUGUUAACUAGAUUUGAUUCUGUUCUCUCCACAAUUCAAGGGUAAGCACUAAGCAGUAUGGUUUUGAUGUUUACAUAAUCAUCUCAAAUUCUUUCAUUGGUGAGUCAAUCAAGCAUGUGAUGACCCAAACCAUCUAUUUAAGAGAUUGGUUGGUAUCUACACCAAGGCAUUAGUAUCAAAUUCAGAUAUUCAGAAAGCUAAACCAAACAAGAUCCAAUAAUAUGAUACAUGAAAAAUAUAGAGACAAAAUAUUAACAUAAUAAAUAUAUUUUUAAACGUAAGCAAGGAGUUAUACCUUCAGCCGCUGUAAAAUAGAUACAAGCAAAGAAAGUCUCCUGAUAGCUGAAGUAUCAUAUAGCUCAUUAUACUCUUCAUUAGAAAGAUCACGUAAAUAUACUCCCUUCUCAACUAUAACAGAAGAUCCGACAACUUGAAAGAAUAGCUCAAGUGGAAUUCCCUUGAUAGCUCCUUCAACAUCAAAUGUGACACAAAGAUUAUGUAGAUCAUGAUCUUGUCUCCCAUAUGAUAAAACAUCAUCCCCAGCAGAUAAACUACAUGCAUAGUCCCAGAGAAAACCAUGCAACAGCCUUGCUCGAACCAUUUUUCCACGUAUGUAUCCAUUAGCCUGCAUGGCUUCCAUUCUAAGAGUCAGGGAAUUUGAACUAUAUUGAGUUCGAGCUCUUUGCAUAAUCAAAUAUAUGAAACUGAGUUAUUAUUCUUGUUCUUGAAUGGGUCAUGAGUUCGCUUGUGAAAAGAUUUGAGUUUAUUACGAAUUAUACCAAUUACUUCAGAAGAUAAACUCUGAAUAGAUGGAUGCAGGACCACCUUAACUUUACGGUUAAAGUUAGUAUUCAUAAUCCCAUUUAAAUCUAGGUGUAUACAUUUGCAGUGCCCUUCGUUUUCAAGCUUAUACAACAUUUUGUCUACAGUUCUCCUGCCCAUUGUAGUACCUUUGUCUUUCUCUAGAUUCACAAGUAACUUAUAUAGCUCUGAUCUCAAGGACAAUUUUUUCAGCCUGCAUUGGUUUACACACAAAUGCACACAGAACGAAUAGCAGUUUAAUUAUAUAAUACUAAUUAGAGGGACAAAAACCUAUUCCCUCAAGCGUGAGAGAUGAAUACCAUGUAAUCGUUUGAGUAUUCUCUGCUCUCAUCUGUUGCCUAUCACCUGUCGAAACUGACAGAGUUUAAGCUUUUUCAUAGAAUAAUUGCUGUGCUUAAAAACGUUGCUCUUGUUUCAGGAUUAACUCUUGUGUUUGCACGUAUUGGGAGACACUAUAGCUUGCCUCACUAUCUCUUGGAGAGGGGAAAGAAGAGAGCCUUAUUUUAUUCUCAUGUGUUGUUUGUCUUCCAAAGCGUAUCACUUCAAAAUUCCAGAGAUGAGAGAUUUGGGCUGAUCCUAUCUAAAAUACUAGGAUUGCCACCCAAACUUGACUUUUUUGUUUGGAAUUAGAUUAGAAGAUUCACUGUUCCUGGAUGUCCGAUUCUGUAUUCAUGGCCUUAUAUGAAGUUCCAUCUGCAUCGGCAUCCCAAAUCUACUGCUCACUGAAAAACAGUUUCUGCGAUUCGUCUUCUUAUUAAUUCCAAACCUCUUGCCUACCUGUUUCAACAACAAAAUUUAUGAAAAGGUCUUAGAUUUAGAGUAAAACUUUGUACAUUUGUAGGAAUCUACAUUGUGAAAAUCUAAAAAGGAGCAUAAAUGUCACAGAAACAGACUGGCAAAGAGAAAUUUCUGUUUAGGGCAAAUAGUUCAGAAAAUAUAGUAGAUAUAACUUAGUGGGAGUAUGAUUGCUAAUUGAACUUUUCUAUGAUUCUUGAAAUAUAGAGAUAUAAAUAUAAGACUCUUUGGCAAACCUCUGUAAUAAGCAUCCCUUUGGAUCCUGUAGCAUCAAUUGUAUCGUAAUCUGAUGAUCAAUGGGAAGCUCCACAAGCUGUUAGCCAUUUGACAUCUUCCAAAUUUGAACUCUUUGCCUUCAACACAUCUGUUUGUAUUUCGCUCAUAAUCCAAAGGGCAAAACUUUUUUAGCAAAUGUAGGCAAGGCUCAUCCUGUAAGAACAAGCAUGUUCAUGCAUAAUUUUCAGAAACGGAUAUCUCCAUGAAAUAGGAAAAAGUUUGUCGAAACAUUGUAAGCAAAACCAUCUCACAAUUAUAUCAUAGGCAUAAUGAAGUGAAAAAUUAUACUCUCGAAAUAAACAAUCUAUAAACUAAACAACAAGAGUACUCUAAAUCAUAAAAAUGCAGAAGUUAUCAACUAACCUUCCCAUUCACUUUUACAGUAGUCUCCUCUACUAAACCAGCAUUUAUCAAUCUGCAAUAUAUCUAUAAGAAAAAUUUGCAGAUGAAGAAAUAGAUGGAAACCAUUAAGAACAAAUCAUCAAGAUAAUUUUAAAACACACACAACAUCAACAACAAAAACAACAACAAAUGUACUUUCUUCCAUUCAUGUCUCGCGUUCUGUGACCCAAAAUAGCCAAGGUCACGUUUAAUACCUGAAAUGACAAGAACCUAACAAGAAAAAAAAAGGAGAAUUCAAACAAACAUCAGUAUAAUUUAUCAAAAGAAAAUAAAGCUAUCUGUCAAUCUUUUAAGCCAUAAAAGACCUUGCCAUGAGUUUCUUCAAGUUUAUCACAGAUAGUUUUAAUUGAUGGUAAAUAAUCAUUAUAAGCACAUCCUCCGAAUCCUCUUUGCCGAUACUUCCUUCAUCUUUGGUAACCUCGAAUUUCUCUUGAGAUCCCAAAUGCUUUGCAUAACGGUAUAAAUGAAUUAACCUUGUGGGCUAACUUUUGUUUGCUGCUUCCUCUUGUUUUCCUCAACUGCUUCUUGUCUUACGAUUAAGCCUCUUUUCUCAAGCUUCCUUACCACAUAGAAAAAUCUAUUUUCUUCGAUUCCAAAUUCCUUGCUAAGCUGAUUUUGAGUUAUUCCAUUUGCUCUACAAACACACAAUUAAAAUAUUAAUAAUAAUAACAAUAAAAGACAUUCGUCAGCAAUGUCAUAUCAUCCUUUUAAUAUACAAGAUUUCAAUCUACAUUUGUUGUUUUUACUAUCUGUUGUUAAUAUCACACCUAUUUCAGAUUUGGUAUAGUUGGAAUAUAUAACACAAUGGAAUAUUCAACACAAACAGCUACAAACGAGGAUUUUUGUCAUUCACAGACGUUAACUACUUCCAAUUUUGAAUUAUUUUAAACGUUAAUAACUAACUCUUUUUAGUGAUCUUUUUAUAUAGAUUUUCAGCCUUUUAUUUUUGAAGAAAAAUCAAAAAGAGUAUCCAAACGGAAUCACAGCUAAUAAUCACCAAAAUUUAAAAAGAACCUGAAGUUAAAGCAAAAUUGAAGAAGAAUUAAAGGAACAAUAUUCAAAUUAACCUUGCAGAGGCAAUGCGUUGAAGAACGAAUCUUGUUGAUUAACCUCUUUUUCUCCAUCUCCAAAAGAAAAAUCAUAACCACCUAAAAAAAUUAUCACAUAAUUUGUUCUUAGCAACAAUAAUUAAAUCCAGCUUUUCCGUAUCCUCAAAGCGUCGAACCAAAGGAUCAUUGUGAUCGUAAACACGAUCACGCUUUCGGAACUGAACCGCCGGAAUUUCGAGUAGGUUAGCCCAUAAGGCUCGUCUAAUUUCGACGCUCAAACCGAGCUUCGAACAGAGAGAAGAUUAAUGCAACGCCAUCACGACCUUUUGAACAGAUUUCUUCGAGAGCUGAUGAUAUGAUGGCAUCCAUCGAUUGGAAUUUUCGGCUGUGAUCAACACAACAGUUUUUUUCUUUGAAGAAAUUGAAUUCAAAGGGCGAAUGUAAUGGAGAAUUGGCGGGAAGUGACGCCGACGUGGAGAAAGCGGUUAAAAGGAGUAUAGAGUACAACUCUAAACAGGAGGCGACUGCGAAUCGGGUACCCGAAAUAAAAAAUUAAAUAACAUUUUUAUUUUAUAUUAAUUCUUAUAAUUAAAAUUAAAUAAAGGUUAAAUCACUAUUUGGGACCUGAACUUGGUAACCUUUUUUCACAUUAUGGCCUGAACUCUUUUUUUGUCCAAAUUAAAGCCCUAAACUUGGUAAUUAUUUCCAUAUUGGGGUUUGAACUAGGCAACUGUUUUCACAUUAGGGUUUAAACUUUUUUUUUCUAAAUUAGUUCUUGAACUUGGCAAUUGUUCCCAUAUUAGAGCCUUUAAAUUGGCAAUUACUCGUCUGAACUUUAAGGUUUUCAAGGAUUAACUUAAAAAAAAAGUUUAAGCCCUAAUGUGAAAACAAUUACCAAGUUUAAGGCUUAACUUGGAUAAAAAAAACUUAGGCGCAAAAAGUUAUUUAACCCUUUACGUAAUUCAUUGAAUAAAGAGCUGAAAUUAAAAAAAAAAAGUACCUCAAAAUUCAAAAAAUUAUAAAACAUUAAAAAAAAUAAAAAUGACUUUGAAUUUAAAAAAAUAUUCAUAAAAAUAAAAAAAAUAUCAUAAAUUACAUGUGAAAAUAAAAAAUUUAAUAAGGGUAUUAGAUUUUAGUUUAUUUGAAAUUUUACGAAAUUAGUAAAUUAUUAAAAUUACAUUUAUUCAAACUAUGAAAAAUAUUAAAAUUAUGAAAAAUAAAUAUAGAUAAUGACAAUGUAUCAUGGGCAAAGGGGAGUAAACUAUAUCUAUUUAUAGACUUGUAAAACUAGAUUCUAAUACAAUGAGUGUAGUAAGAUUGCAACACCUUAUUCUAAUCAAUAUUAAAUAAAUAAAGUUUAAUAAAGUUGAAAAAUAUUAUUCUAAAAUAAAAUAAAAGAAAUGUAGUUCUAUAUAAAUUUUACUUUUAUUUUAUUUUAUCACUGUAUUUUAUUUUAAUAAGAAUUCGGAUCACUCAAUUUUAACAUAAACAAAUCCAUAGACUUUAAGAUAGAAAAAUCUCAACUACUAUUUCAAGAGAAUAUUAUUUUAUUUAGAUAAAAUCAUAAAUACAUCUAUUUCUCUAAAAUUUCUUUCGCCCAACAAAAAUAUCCGAAGUUUUGUGAAUCUACUAAAUUGGGUUAACCCAAAUCACUUUAAAUACAAGAAGUCAAAUGGGCGAAUUGAUUCAAGUGAAGAGAAAGGGGUUGAACUGGUAAUAUCUAUUUUUUUUUGAAAAAGAGAUAAGAUAUUUCGACACAAUGACAUCUUGAUACCACGAGGAACAAGUAAAAUAAACUCUUGAAGAAUAAAAAAAAUGAAAAUUUGAAUCUAUGUCCAAUGGAUCACACCUACUAAGAAAAAGUAUUUUAUUUUAGUUCGACCUGUAAUCCCAUAUGAAAUAUCGGAUAGUCUGAAUUUAACAACACUCUUCCUCCAAGAUCCAUUUCGAGAAAAGAUAAUAUGCAACUUCGAGCUGUCAAUUAUAUCCUGUAUGAAAAUGGCAAAUCGAUUCGAAGAAUUUCUAAUACAAGGAUUCAACUAGUGCGGACUUGUUAGUGUUGAGUUGAGACCAAUACAACAAAAGUUCUUCCACCGAAGAGGUCUAUACUUCCUUUGUUGAAGUAAGGACAAAUGAUCUAAUUCGAUAUUUUCUAAAAAUCGACUUAGUGAAAAUUCAAUCUUUUUAAAUAAUAAAAGAAAUGAUCCGUCAUGUUCAAAACUGUAAGAAUUGCCUGUUUGUGGUGUGUGUUUAACUGUAAUUCGUUUUUAUUAAAGAUAUGUAAUUUGUAUAAAAAAUAAGCACUCAAAAUAAAUAAAUCAUCUUUUAUAAUACGGUUCACCAAAGUCAAUUUAAUUAAAAAGUACAAUAUAAAAAUUGUUUUUAUUUAACUAUAAAAUAAGGGUAAAUUGCACGUAAGUCUCUAAAUUAUUAGAAAAUUUAACUAAAUUUUAAAAGUUUACAAAAUAGUCAUUGGAUUAUUUAAAAAAUUUUGUUUGAGUAAUUAGACUAUAAAAUUGCCGUUGUAUGGUCUUCUCCAUAGAGGUAUUCAAACAAUUGAUUCGGUUAUUAAUCGAACGAACUAGUAUUAAUCGAAUUGUAUAAUCAUUUAAUAGUUAAUCGAAAUUUAUAUUUUUUUUUGUUUUUUUAUUAAACAAAUAUAAAACAUAUAAAAAAUACAUUGAUGAUGUUCAUUUGUCUUGAAAAUUAACUGAAUUAACCGAAAAUUAAGCCUUAAAACACUACAUAAUUAUUAGUUCGGUUAAUUAUCUGAUUUCGAACCGAAUUAACCGAUAAUGAAAUUCCAAAAAAUCAUUGACCGACCUUCGAUCAAACUAAGUUCGACUACCGACCGAUUAACUAAAUUAGAUCGGUUCAGUCGGUUAAUUAGAUUUUAAUCGAAAUAUGAACACACCUACUUCUCCAUUCACACCACCAACACCAACUGAAAACUUUCGUUUUCCUCUUCUUGUAUGAUUUAGUUUUUUUUUUUAUGGAAUAACUUUGAAUGUCAUAAAUCUGUAAACCAAAAUUUAAAUAGUUUUCUUAUCCAAUCUCCAACAUUGAUCAUAUUAUGAUCAACUUAAAUCUAAAUUAUGUUUGUUUACUCAUUAAUAAGUACCGUUUGUUGAAUUGCCGCUUAAAACUCGUCAGUUAGGCUUGUAAGAAAAAAAAACUUAACAAUUCAAUAACUUAAAUGAAAACUUUCAAAUAAUUUAAUGACUAUAUUGUAAAAUUAUGAAAUUAAGUAACCAAAAUAUAAAAUUACAAUAAUUCAAUACCCUUUAAUUUAAUUUAAUUAAAAAUUAUAUUUUUAAAAAUAUAAAAAUUUCAAUGCAAAACUGGAAAGCAAUUGGAAUAGAUGAAUACUAUCAUAAAAAUUUUAAUUUAAUUUUGAUGUGACUAAUCAAUUUAAAAAUUUAAAAUUAUGAAGAAAUUAGGUAUUUAAUUUUUUAUGUAACGAUAAGAUUAAUUAUAUUUUUUUCCUCUCAAAACAACAGAAAAGCAAUUAAAAAAUUAGGUGACGUCAGAUCCCUCGUGCGGCCAAACCCUAAACCUUCCCACUUUUUUUUUCUUCCUACCUAACCGAAUAAAAUUUAAAAAGAAAAAAAAAUUCUAUUUUUCUUGCUCUCUUCAUCAAUUUAGAACAUAAUUUAUUUUCCUCCUUUAUUUUCCUUUUUUCUUUUCCAUUGCUUUGAAUAAAUUUGCUGUGAUCUUUGAAAAUCAUGGCUUACGCAUCUCGUAUCAUCAAUCACUCUAAAAAGGUACCCAAUUCACGAUUCGUUACUUGUAUGUAUGGAUAAUGGAUGUAUGUAUGGAUGACUUUGAGUCAGUCCUAGAUUCAAAUUCGUUUAUAGAUCAUGGUCGAAUUGUAGCUUUUUAUUUAUGUUUUUUUUUAGCUUUGUUAUUUGUUCUGAAUUUCUGUUAUUACAGUUAAGGAAUGUUCCUAACUUAUUGCGGCAAGAUCAUGCUGUUUUGGUUCGUUGCUUUUCCAAUGGAGCACAAUCCUCUGUUUGUAAAAUUGAAGGUACAUAAUGCUAUCCAGAUAGUUUUCUUACUUGUUUCUCAUGUAUGUUAGGGUGGAAAACUUAAAGAAUUGAACAUAUGAAUGUUGGGCUUGUACCUGUAUCUGAUACUCACACUUGAGUCCGAGUAGCAUAAAUAUCAAGCUUUCUACAAUCAUUAAGCAUAAGAGCUAUUUUGUGUUUUAUUCAGCUAAGUAGACAAUCAAAAGCCUCCCAGUUAGAUGGUUUUAUUGAAGGUUUUAUCAUAUCUUGUAAGGUUUGCUUAUAUUUCUUGCUAGGUUCACUCGUACCAACCGGCUGGUUUACUAAUUUUUACUUUUUAACUUGUAAUUGUAUUUAGUGAGAGGUAAUAAUUUGUCAGUUUUCUGAAAGCAUAAUGGAGUCGAUAAAAUUUUGGUUAUGCAGCUGCAGAAAGAGAGAGGGUAUCCAAGUUUGUUGCAUGUAACCAUGUAAGUGCCUCCUCUUUUUAUCAUGGGUGGAGCAAUAAUUAGUGUAGCAUUUUUGUUUCAUAAUUUUCCUUUUUCUUUGCUGCAGACUAUGCUCUGCUUGUGUAUUACAUUCUUGAUUGAAUUCAAGACUUGGUUUGCCAAUACUAGCUGUUCCACAUCUUGUUAUGCAGGUAUCAUCUGGUUUACCUAGGAACAAUUGUUCUAGGGCAAUAAUGAGAUUGGGAAUUCCAACAGUUGGUGUGGCAUACAGCAGAGAGCUCACAUGGUAUUCAUUCCAGCAUUUUUUGUGAUCUUAUUGGAAAAUUUUACUAUUUCCUAGUAAUGGCUUUUUAAUCAUUUCAAGCAUCUAAACAUUUUCCCUCUAUCCAUUAUCAGUUCUCAGGUACAGUCAAGGAGAGGAUUUGCAUCAGAUGCAGGUAUAGAUUAUUGCUUUAAAUGUCAUAGGUUGUACUGGUAUCUUCUACUUUGUAUUCUCUGAAGGAGCCUAUUUUUUAAAUUGUGAAAAGAUGUGCACUGACUAGUGAUUACAACAAGAAUGUGUGUUUAACUUAUGAACCUACUAACUUCAUGCCAAAUGCUAAUUUGUGACUUAAUUGAUGAGCUGUAAUAUUAUAUUAUUCUUAAUUCCUUCUGUGGCUUGUUCAAUACCCUUCUUUAUGGGACAGCUCAGAUGAUAGGAAUGUAGUUUAUGGGUAAUAAAUUUGUGUAAUAUGAAGCUUGUUUAUCUGGUUUCUGAAUAAUAAGUAAUGUGACUGCACUAUAUUUAAGAAGCAAGGCAUUAUUACUAUAGUUCAUUCUUCUUCUCUCUUUUACAAGGCAUUGCUAUAGAACCUUUCUUUAUUACUAUUUUUGUUGUUCUAGUUUUAUCACUUAGGUUAUGCUGGAUUGAUGUAGCAUAUUUAGAUUUUUCAAGUUGUUUUCACCAGUAUAUAGGUUUGUUAUAUUUAUGGCUGAGAACAUGGCAGUUGAAAUGAUGUUUAAAAGUGUUUUAAGUUGAACCCUGUGCAUCGGUUCAAGGGUUUUACAUUGUUUAUUAACUGUUUCAUCAUUUUUUGUUGCAUGACAUACUCAAUAUUGCUAAUAUUAUAAAGUUUCAAGCCUCCCUCCUCACCAAGAGAUCGGAAUGCCUUCACUCUCUCCCACAAUGACAGAGGUGUGAACUGUUCUAGAUCUUUGCAAAAUAUCAUAAAAUAUUUUGUGGUUUUCUUUUAAGUUUUCCAUUUAUGCAGGGAAAUAUUGCUAGAUGGUUGAAGAAAGAGGGUGAUAAAGUGAAUCCUGGCGAAGUGCUGUGCGAAGUUGAAACUGUAAGGUUUUCUCCUGUCCAGAUAAAAUUUCUUCAUUUACUUUGCUCUUAUCAGAAGCCAGUAUUUUAUUUUACAACUUUGUUUAUUGUUUGAAGGAUAAAGCAACCGUUGAGAUGGAAUGCAUGGAAGAAGGUUACCUUGCCAAGAUUAUAAAGGGAGAUGGAUCAAAAGAAAUCAAAGUUGGUGAGGUAAUGAUUUUGUGGCAGUCAUGUGCACAUAUUUAUCUUUCUUUGGUCCUCCCUUUUGUGGAUAGGGGAGUUUGUAUGACUAGUAAAUAAAGAAGCAGCAUCUUGGCUUUGUAUUAGAUCUUCUGUCUGUUGCUCUUUUGCUACCAGAAUCAAAUACAAUUUAUGUCAAUAUUUGUGCAGUUAAUAUUAUUUAUUUGUUCUUGUGUAGAUAAUUGCCAUCACCGUUGAAGAGGAGGAGGAUAUUGCAAAGUUCAAGGACUAUAGUCCUUCAACAUCAGAUUCUGGUGCUCCUGCAGCAAAGGAGCCAGCAGCUCCUCCACCUAAGCAGGAGCCUGUUCAACAACCAGUUAGUUCACCAGAGGCUAAGUCCAAGCCCUGUUCACCUCCUUCGGAAGAUCGUCUUUUUGCAAGUCCACUUGCAAGAAAAAUGGCUGAAGAUCACAAGGUCAGUUAUAUUAUAUAUGAGUGCCGUAACUGGGAUUUUCUUGUUGAGAGAAAAGUCGUUACUAUAAGGAUAGAUUAUAGAAUCAUUUAUAUCAAUCUCUUUUAACAUUUCUCCACUCCUUUGGAUAAAAAUAUAGGUACCUCUCUCUAGUAUCAAAGGAACAGGUCCUGAUGGGCGCAUUGUGAAGGCUGAUAUUGAAGAUUACUUAGGUAUCAUAUUUAAAUUUCUGCAGCAUAACCAAUGCUGUUGCAAAUUUUGACCCUGAUGAGUAAUGCUAUAUAGUAAAGAAUGGCUCUUCCCCCCUCCAACAAAUCCUUUUGCCUUUUCAGUAUCUUCAAUAGUAUUGGUUUCUGUAUUACUGUCACUGCUUGUGAUUACUGGGGUGUUUUCACUUUAUUGUAGCUUCACGUGGGAAGGAUGUUUCAGCACCAACACCUAAGACAAAGGAUGGAAAACUUGAAGCUCUAGAUUAUGUAGAUAUCCCUCAUUCUCAGAUAAGAAAGGUUAGUUAAAAAUUGUCAUUAUUUUUAUAAUUUUAAUGAAAGUUCGAAGUUGUUAAGCAUUUAUGGUACAUGGGCUUUAUUCUAUGCAUCUACUUCUUAGUAGAUGGUCCCCUUUGUAGAAUUUAUGCAUUUGAUUUUGUUUUUGUGAUAAUCUGCAUUAAAUUUGAAAGGUAACCGUGCUACACGGCGGGAUUUAGAAGAUGUAAUUAAUUUUUUUCUCAAUUACUGUUCUGUUAUGAUGGUAUUUAUUUGAUUUAUGUGACGCGUUUGAUAAAUGUGUAUUUUCUGAACUUCAAUUAGUAAGGAAAAGAAAUAGGUAUAGCAAUAACAUUUUUUUUAUCUCAGCAAUGUUUGAGGAACAAUUUUCCUAUUUUUAAUUUUUAAAAUACAAAUUAGUUGAGUUUUUGCUUCAACAAGAAGCAUAUGACUUUCCAAUAAGUUUGUUAUUAUUAUUUUUUUGUAAGCUUUAGUAGAGUGUUGUAAUUUUUUUUUUUAAUUUGAAGAAUGAUUUGAAUUUUUUUCUAAAUACAAUCCUCCCAGCCUAACCCCCAAGUACACCAAGGUCAGAUAGGCAUCAUCUACUUACAGAUUGGUUUUUCAAAUUUUUUGAAAUCUCACAAUACCCUUAGUAAUUCUCAAAAUACCUUUUCUUGAUCUUUCUGAAGAUCAUCUCUGUGCGAAUAGUUUGACAUUUGUAGGUUACUUUAAUGAUAUACAUUAGAAAAAUCAACAUGUAGUGUUAAAUUUUUGAAAAGUUUAAGGUAAAUAAAUCUGUAGAAAACGUACCCAAAACAUGGUCCCAUGAGAAUUCCAGUCUCACUGGUUCCAAUGAAUUGGGUAGAAGCACCCUCCAAUCAUAGGCCUAAGGCAAGAGUGUGUCAAAAAGGAUUGGCAACUUUAAAUAGCACAAAAUGAGUGGGUAUUGAUAUAUAGAGGUUACAUAUUUUAUUAUUAUUUUGCCUAUCAUUUAUCACUGCUGUUUUUUCUACCCUAAUCUCACAAAACUAAAAGCUGGAAACCCUUCUAAAAUAACCAUCCUUGUGGCACUCUUAAAUACCCUAAAAUUGCCUGAGUCAGAAAUCAACUUAUUAUUAAAUAGCAAAGUUCCAAAUUUGACCAUUUUUGCAUGAGAAUACAGAGAAGUCGGUAUCUUUUAACUUCUUUGUUGUCUCCUCAUUUCAAUGUCAAUUACUUUGUUUCUUUUAUAAUAAUGUGCUUUGUGAGUCUAAUUUCUGCUAUCAUUUUUGACAGGUCACUGCAUCAGGCUUAUUAAUCUCAAAGCAGACCAUCCCACAUUACUAUUUAACAGUGGAUACAUGUGUUGACAAACUUCUGGAGUAAGUAAUAUUGCUUUGAUCUGUAAAAGUAUCAUGGACGUCCUUGUACUAAGAGUCAGAUUGCAUUUUUCCUCCUCUAAUAAAAAACCUGACUAAUUUGCUCUUUGCUCUUUGAUUUAACUUAUAGGGACUAAUUUGCCCAUUUUUUGAGUAGGGGAGGCAAAAUGCAAUCUGACUUCAAGAUACUUUUACCUGCUUUGAUCUUUUAAAUGGUAUGCAAUUAUAUGAUAUAUCUGAUAAUUUUGAAUUGUUUCUUUGCAUGCAGUUUGCGAAGCCAACUCAACUCAUUACAGGAAGCUUCAGGCGGGAAGCGUAUUUCUGUCAAUGAUCUUGUAAUCAAGGUAAACAACUUUCCUUCUGUUUUUUUUUUUCUUUUGUUUUUCCCUUGAAGUUCAAGGUUGACAACUUUCAAUACGUUUAAUUGUCGAGCUUUGAGAUGUUUGAAGUGGUUCCUCAUUUGUUGCUUUUGAUGUGGUCCAAGGUUUUUCCUAUAGGUUUUUGUGAAAUGGCAAGUGGUUAUUAUAAUGUUGAUUUCACAUGGCAAUUCUUGAUCAAGUUCAUGCCUUGUUACAUGUAUUUGCUUUUUCGUCCAUAUUAACCUUCAAUCAUUACAUGAAAUUACAUAACCAUUUCUCAAAUCAUUGUUUUCUUUUGGAAAUAUUUAAUUCAAAUGUAGUCUGAAAUGAAUGCUUUCACGUAAAUGGUAAUAUACUGCUUCUGCAGAGAAGAAAUUAGUGCAUAUUUGAUUUUUCCUAACUAAACCGCCAUUAGAAUAUUGCAAUUUUCAUUUAAGAUACUUAGAAGUCUUUUUUGACUGCAGGCUGCUGCAUUGGCUCUCCGGAAGGUUCCUCAGUGCAAUAGUUCAUGGACAGAUGACUAUAUUCGCCAGUGAGUAUAUAUUUACUGACAAACCGAUCAAUUCACUAGUGAUAAACCGAUAAUGCAUAUCAUUAUGACUCAUCUUCUUCUGCUUCUAACCCAGGUAUAACAAUGUCAAUAUUAAUGUAUCAGUGCAGACAGAAAAUGGACUUUAUGUCCCUGUGAUCAGGGUGCGCAAUCAUUUCAACUUAUUGCUGUUUUCCUCAUUCUGUCCGUACUUUUCUAGUUUAACUGAUCCCUUUAUUUUACGUAUUGCAGAAUGCAGAUAAGAAAGGAUUGUCCUCAAUUUCUUUGGAGGUCAAGCAGUUGGCACAAAAAGCCAAAGAAAAUAGCCUAAAACCCGAAGAUUAUGAGGUAAAUAAUUAUGGAUAGGAUAGUAUGAUAGUGUCAUUGGAUCUAUAUGGAUUAUAUACAUGUCGGGUUUUGUCUCUUUGCAGGGCGGUACGUUUACAGUUUCUAACUUGGGAGGGCCCUUUGGUAUCAAGCAAUUUUGUGCCAUAAUUAAUCCUCCUCAAUCAGGAAUCCUCGCUGUCGGGUCUGGUAAGAUUUUCCCUUAAAUUUUCCCAACUCAAGUCAUAUUCACUCCUCCUUCGUAAUCACUGGAAUUCACUGUGUACAGCUGAGAAAAGGGUUAUCCCUAGCUCCGGUCCCGAGCAGUUCCAGUUUGCAUCGUUCAUGUCCGUAACACUAAGCUGUGAUCAUCGUGUCAUCGACGGUACAUAGUUCUAGACUUCCAGUAAUAAAUGAUUAAGCCAAGUUAAACAUCGAACAUCAUCUCAGUGUCCUUUAGGCACACAAAUCUAAUUAACUCGACUUACUGUUCUCUUAGGUGCAAUUGGUGCUGAAUGGCUUAAAGCUUUCAAAGGCUACAUUGAGAAUCCGGAAUCAAUGUUGCUCUAAAUCAACCGGUGAUUCUGGCUUUUCUUUUUGGUUUUAGACACAUUUCCCUGCUAUGAUUAUUUUCACAAUGGGGCGUUGAGUGCAUUACACAUAUUCCGAAUCGAUUUUUGUCACACCGAAUUAAUAUUUUUCGGGAAUAAGGAAGAAGGAUCGAUAGACAAUCGAGGAACUGGAGUUCACCUCACAUAGAAUGUAAUAACCCCCAUUUCACAUAGGUCCCUUAUACUGUGAAUAAAACUUGGAAAUGAUUUUUCGGGUAUAGGCAAUUGCUAAACCCAUCACAUUUUCAUUGCUUUUUCUUAACUAUAAUCAGAAUGCUUCCACUUUGUUAUGAUUUAGCAUCAUUAUUCUUUUCUUUGUUUGAAUCAACAACUCCUAAGACCGAGAAAUUAAAUCUAGAAAAUCGUAUACUUAUUCGAACAGUAGUUUAGAUAUGUAAUAUUUUUCCAAUAAUAAACAAAACUCUCAAAAUUUCGUGUUACUACAAAUAUAUUUCUCUCAUUAUAAUACUUACUAUAAAUUUUGUAAUGGAUUAUGCAACAAAAAUUACAAUAUAUUACUCGAUUGUAUCAUUUAUUAUUGCCUGCAUAAUAUUUUGUGUAAAGUAGUGUUAUUACAAAAAAUUUCACCUUAAAUAUUACCUAAAUACACAAAUUAUUACGUCUCACCCUGAUGUAUGCUACACGAAAAUACACAUUCUAUUUUAAUAUUUUUCAUAACAUAAAAUUACAUUUUCACCCUUAUUUUGAUAAGUAUUAGUUCAAAUAGUUUAAUUAUGUCUUAACUAAAGUUCAAGUUUAAAAAUUAAUUCUCGAUUAAAUUCAAAUCGUGUAUUAAAUCUCAAAUUUUAAGUCAAAUUCAAGUUUAUAAUUACUCAAGUGUAGCUUGGUUAUAUAUAUUUAUAUGCUAUUAAAUUUUGAAUUGGUAUUUGGUACUUUAGUAGUAUUUUUUGUUAUAAGUAGCCUUGAAAAAUUGACAUUUAUCUCUUUUUUAAUAUUUUACAAUAAUCUAUAGGACACUUCUCAAUUUCCUCUACACAAGCAUAGCUAGGAUAUUGACAAGUAUUUUAUAUGAUUAUAGUAAAAUAUUAAAAAAUAAAUAUUUAAAAACACAAAUAGUAAUUUUUAAAUUACUUAUAAAAUAAAAAAAUACAUUAAUAAUGUAUCAAAUAGUAAUUUUAUAAAAUUUAAUAAUUACCAUGAACAAUAAAGCUAGUUUUUUUCAACCGGUUGGACCAAAACUUAGGUAAGAGAAAGUGAAAGGCUGGGCUUGAUCCGGCUGAUGAAACAUUUUAGUCAUAAAAGUCAACAAGUUUUCCUAAGCAUGUGCUGGGACACACGCAAUACUUUCAAUGGAUAUGGACUACACGUCAUCAACACAGUCACCCUCACGGAAACCGGUUUAAAUCCUCUGCAUCACCGCCUACGUUAUACAAAAUACAAAUAAUCCAAACAUUGGAAUUAACAAAGUGAAAUUAAAUAAAGAGAAAAAUCACUAUUUGAAUUUAAUUUGGCUACAACUUUUAUGUUAGAAUUUGAAGUUUUUUUUUCUAAAUUAGUCAUUAUUUUCAUAUAGAAGCUUAAAUUAAGUAAAUGUUUUUAUAUUGUUGAAUUUUUUUUUUAAAUUAGUCCUUGAACUUGACAAUAUUACCAAGUUGAAUCACCAGAGCUUUCUUUAAUAAAGUGUUAAAAAUUUAAUAUUUUCAAUAAUUUAGACACAUUUGAUAGCCCACAGUGAAAAUUAAAAACUACUGUUUUCUAUUAUAAAUAGUAGAAAAUGAUAAGUAGAUAGGCACUAUUCUGUAUUAAAUUUUAAACAAUUUACCCAACAAAGUUUAUAAUUUAAAUUUAACACUUAUUUUUCAAUUUAUUAAACAUAGCUUAACAACGGUUAAGUUUAGAGACUAAAUUAGAAAGAAAAAAAAUUUAGAUCCUAAUAUGACAAUAAUUACUAAAUUCAAACUAAAAAAAUUUAAAUAAAAAUCUAAUCAAAUCGACCUCUCGAAUCUCGAGACAUAAACAACUCUAGUGCAAAUUCACAAACCUACUAAGUUAUCAAUGGGUGAAAUUUGAUUCAUCUUAGAGAACCAACCGCAGAGAAUUAAAAAGCUUUAAAAUAAUGAUAUAUACACAUACAUAUACCUAAUCUAUAACCGACACUUGUCAGUUUCCCCUUCUUUUACUGUACAACAAAUUCUCUUCCUUCCUCAAAUCUUUCACCGUUAAUUUCCGGUCACCCACUUCUUUAAAUAACCCUAUUUUUUCCCUUCAGUUUUUCUAUUCUAUAUUUUUAAACUUCAUUUGUCACUAUUUUGCUCUCACUCUUGCGAGAUCCGAACUCACCGGAGUUCCGUCGCCGGCGGGGACGACGAUGGUCGAGUCUCCCGUUAGCUGAUUAAUAGAAAUCGUAUAUGUUCUAAAUUCGAUCGAUUAAUCAAUCUCUUUUUCUUUUAUCCCCGAAAGGAAAUGAUAGAUCCCUGUGCUGUAAUUAACGUUCGAUCCAAAACCUGGUUUCGCAAGAGAAAAAAAUCCCGUUCAUAAUUUUCAUUGUGACGGUGGUGUUGGGCUUUUCUCUAUUUGUAUAGUUUCAAUGUUAAUUUCUUGAUUUUUUUUUUGUAUAUAUUUCCGAUCAUACAUAUAUAGGUAGAUAUAUUGCUUCUUCUUUUUAAAAUUUUUUUGGGUAUUUUUAGGGUUAGGGUUUUUUCGAGUCUUUGAAAGUGGCAAAGAUGAAUAUAAGUGCGGCCGAGGAAGAUUCGGCGCAAGAGAUUCAUAUUCCGGCUGAUAUAAAUUGGGAAAUGCUUGAUAAAUCCAAGUUUUUCUUCUUAGGUGCGGCGUUAUUUUCCGGCGUAUCGGCGACCCUUUAUCCCGUAGUUUUAGUCAAAACACGGCAGCAGGUUGCUCAAGUAAAACUUUCCGGCAUCAGAACGGCGUUUUCCAUCGUUAAACAUGGCGGUUUCCAGGGAUUAUACCGAGGUUUCGGCACUUCAUUAAUGGGAACAAUCCCAGCUCGAGCACUUUACAUGGCUGCCCUUGAAGUAACCAAAAGUAAUGUAGGGAGCACCACUGUUAAAUUAGGGUUUCCUGAACCAACGGCAGCGGCGAUAGCUAAUGCGGUCGCCGGAUUAACCGCCGCGAUGGUGGCUCAACUUGUUUGGACCCCAAUUGAUGUGGUUAGCCAAAGGCUAAUGGUUCAAAGUAGCCCAUCACAAUGUAGAUAUGUAAAUGGGAUUGAUGCCUUUAGGAAAAUAGUGAACUCACAUGGUCCAAAGGGAUUAUAUAGAGGCUUCGGUAUAUCAAUUUUAACAUAUGCACCAUCAAAUGCAGUAUGGUGGGCAUCUUACUCAGUUGCUCAAAGACUUGUUUGGGGAGGCAUUGGAUGUUACUUAAAAGGCGGCAGGGAUGAAACAAUUCGGCCUGAUUCAAAGACGGUAAUGGCGGUUCAAGGAGCGAGUGCGGCAAUGGCAGGUGGGAUAUCGGCAUUGAUCACAAUGCCGCUCGAUACUAUCAAGACCCGGUUACAGGUCUUAGACGGAGAAGAGAACCGGCUGCGCGGACCGACAAUCGGGCAAACCGUGAGGAAUUUGGUUAAAGAAGGAGGAUGGCUUGCUUGUUAUAGAGGAUUGGGACCAAGGUGGGCUUCAAUGUCAAUAUCUGCAACAACAAUGAUCACUACUUAUGAGUUUUUGAAACGAUUAUCAGCUAAGAACCAAGAGGGCUUGUUGUAAAUGAAGAUCAAUAGGCUAUGUUACUCAAAUACGGGUAAAUAUUCAAUACAGAAAAUGAAGAGUUUGAGCAAUAUAUAACCAAAAAAAAAAAAAUGGAAAAACAUGUUUUUUUUUUUUUGCUUUGGGUUCUUUGAUUUUUGUCUAAAUUAUGCUUUGAUAUAUAUAUAUAACUUUAAGUCUAGCCUUGGUUUUGGUUGGUGAAUGUAAAUGUGGUUGCAGGUUUAAAUAUAAAAUAUACUUCCUCUACACUAGUUACCCUUUGGAUGAACUUAUGGUUUAUGAAGGAUUUUAAGAAAUUGUGAAAUUUUUUUUAUGUUAUUUAGAUUCAUAUGUUAAUAUUUUUUUUUAAAUAUAGGUUUAUUAUAAUAUCAUUUGUUUAAUUAUACGGAUAGUAAGCGAAUUCUUUUUAUUAAUUUAAGUUCGAUUUAAAAAUUAUAUAAAUCGAUAAUGACGAUAGGAAUGAUCGUAAAUUAAUAAAAAAAAUAAGAACAUGUUGAUUUUACAUAGAAAAUAUCACAGAUAAAAAGAGAAAUUUACUAAUAUUGAAAAAUGAUAAUAUGCAUAGUUUUUAAGGUUAAUCAACUCAUCUAAUAGAAGUAGUUCGGCCCUUAGACAUUCGUCCCCAUAAAUUAGAGAUGAUCAUGGGUUAAGUUAGGUCCAAACAAAAUUUUAAGCCCAUUUAUUAGUUUUGGGCCUAAUUUGGCCCAAAAAUUUGUCCAAGCCUGAUGGGAAUAAAAAUGUUAAAAUUAGGGCUCGACCUGGCCUGCUCAUAUUAUUAAAAAAAUAUAUUAUAUAUAUUUUUACAUAAUUUUUAAAUAUAUAUAAUAAUAAUAAAUACUAAAAAUAUUAAAAUAAAUAUUUCCGCACAAGUUGAAAAUAAAUUUUAAAAAUAUGUAUACUUAAAUAAUACAAUUAUAGAUGCAACUUAACAAAAAAAUGUCUCUAAAAUAAUAACAAAAUUAACAAUAAAACAAAUGUUAUAGUGUUAUACGAUAUUCAAACAAUAAUAACAAAAUUGUAGUAAUAUAAUAGUGAAAUGGUAGCAAAAUAGAAAAAAAAAAAGAAAAAGAAAAUACCAUUAAAAUGACAAAAAAAUACAAUUUUUUUUGUCAUUUAGUGAAUUCGAGUCAAGUUAGACUUGGGCCAAAAAUGUCUUACCUGAAGCUCGACCCAUUUUAAAAUAGACCUUAUUUUUUCCCAAAACCCAUUUUUCGGGCUAAUAUUUUUGCCCAAAGCCUCCCACUUUCAGGCGGGCAUUUCGGUCGAGCACAAAUAUCUAAUUUUGUCUUUCUAUUUUAUUUCUUUAACAAAUAAAUUAACCUGGUUAAACAAGAUUCGGAUCACAUAACUCUAAUAAUAUAUAUAUAUAUAAUCUAAAUUUCAAAGUUUUGACAAAAUACUAUAAUUAUUGGAACGAAAACUUCUCAGUAAUAGGAAUGACCGAAGAGAAAGUAGAUAAGUUGUCACUAAGCUAAUAGUUGGCAAAUUCUCGUGUUAACAUUAGAUAUCUAUAUUAUUUAAUAAUUUGAUUCAGUGCCAAUGGCUUAAAUUUAACUGUAAAAUUAUCAAAAAUUCAUUAUUUAAUUUUAAAAAACUGUACAUCUAAUAAAAUUUAAACUUAAAAUAUAAUUGCCUUUACCAUGUCAACUUCAUCGUUUCAACCUAAUCGGUAUAUGAUUAUCAUAUCAAACUUUUAUAAUAUAUUGCAUAAUUUUUUUUUCAAUUAGGUAAAUCAUAAUUUAUUAAAUAUAUAUUUAAAGAAAAUGCUUUUAUUUUUAAAAUUUUUAUACGUUCAAAGAAGUUUUGAAAGAAUAUGUUUACGAGACUAAGUUUGCUCAAUUGAUUUCAAAACUUUCAUGUAUUUAACAAGUAUCUUAUAAAUAAAUUAUAUUUGGAAGGAUAUGAGAAAUAAGAAUUUGCAGAAUCAUUUUAUUUUUCACUAAUUAGUUAUUUGUUUUAGAAAAGAAUAUAUAUUAUUCAAAUUCAAGAGUUAGUACUCACACACAAACCAUAAGGAUAUACUCACGUUACAUAUAUUACAUUCAAAAGAAAGCUAUUGAAAUAAAGUACUACAUGCGGGAUGAACAACUUAUAAUCACGAGACCAAAUAAAAAUUUUAAAAUCGAAUUCUAUAAUGACUAUUUCUAUUACAAUUAUCUUAUUUUUUUAAUCAAAACUUCAACUCCACUAAUCCAUCAUUAUCAGGUUUAUAGUUCACAGAAUAUAACAUUACACUUUAUAAUAAAAUUAUUGAAAUAUAAAAUCAUUUAACAUAUUUAUUAGGUAUACAAAUUUUGUUUGUUUCAUUGUCAAGAUAUAAAAUAAUUUAAAAGCAAAUUUUAUAAAAUAAUUUGUUUUUUAAAUUAUGAUUAUUGUUUAAUAAGCAAAAGUUAGGCUUAUUGUCUUUUAUUUCACAGUUGUGGUCCUUUAGUAAAUCAAUUUCAUAUAUUUUUUUCAGAUAAAUAAAAUAAAAUUGUGAAAAACAGUAAGCAAGUAAAAGUCUCCUUUUGUCAAAGUGACAAAAACAAGAGUAAAUUUGUUAUAAAAGUUGCAUGUCAACCAAAAUGGAAACUAAUAUAACAUUAUUAUCUACUAAUUUCUAUAUUAUACGUUAACCCACUAAUCUAAUACCCAAUUAUUUUACGAAAUAAUAAUAUAUUAUGUGAGUUUUUAUCUAUUUAUUUUUAUAUAAAUUUUUUUAAAAAUAUAUAUAUACUUAAUGAAAUUUGAAUUCAACUAAUACUUUAUUUAAUUUUUUUUAUUUUUUUAUAAAUAUAUUUGUUAAAUGAAAAUUAUUUCCAUAGUAACUUAAAUCUAGUAAAAAUAAAGAUAUUGCUAUUUUUUUUUAAUUGAUAUAAAACACUCAACCACAGAUAUAAAUUCCAUUUUUCACAAACUCAAUAACAUUACCAAUAACCAAUCAAACACAUAAAUCUUUUUUUUUAAUUAAAUAUUAAUUAUAUCUCGAAACUGACAUCCAAAUUCAAAUAUCAAACAAAUUCAUCAUCAUCCUUGAAGGUUAUUUAGCAAAGAAUGGGGCAAUUCAAUCAUCAAUGAAUGAAAAAAAGGACAAUAAUAUAAUAAUAUAAACACAAUACUAUCUUUGAACCACAAAUUGAUCCAAAACUAUCAAAAUAUUAAAAACAAACAAUCAGAGAGAGAAGUUCAGGUUAGUUGAGAAAAGCUAGAAAUUCAAAGACAUGGAUGAUAAUGAAGCAUAUAGAGGGGUUUUAUAAAAUUAUUUCCCAUGACAGAGUAUAAAUAUUACCCUGUAAGCUGGAAAUAUAUGAGGUGUUCAAGAAAAUAACCUAUCCCAUCUUUCUUGGGACGGCUACGGCUUUUGUUUCCACUUCAUCUGAGCAGUCACUUGAAACUUCUUUUUUAUUCUUUUUUGAGCAGAAGCACGGCUCCAUGAAUGCUGUCAGCGAGCUACUACUGGUUAAUAAUCUCGUCCUUUGUAUUGCAUGUCCUGCCAAAACAUAGUUCCAGUUUCUAUUAGGAUUCCCACAAGGACUGCAAUGUUUUUGGUACUAAAUGAAAUACCAAUACUGGUUUUUUCGAGGAAAAAAGAAGAAACUAGUCUAUAUUUAUCACGAUGUGAAAACCUAACCCGGUCAACAUGAACCUAAACCAGACCUAACCCCUAUUGACCAUAAAAGGCCGACAAGCCGAACAAAAAUGACAAAUCCAACCUGCCUAAUUGAUAGGUCUAGUUCCGGUGCUACUCAAACUCAGAAGCGAGUGCUAAAUGGGAGUCCGUGCCCAAAAGGGAUAUGCCAAAUAUUUUCAUGUUCCAUUGUGUAUUUUAAGGUGAAAUGAAGAGUUGGGAGUAACUAUACAAUUUUCCCUUCAGAGCAAACAAAUGAAAUUUAGGACGUAGUUUAAAGAAAAUUCUCUAGUGCCAUGUUCGGGAACAAGAUUUUGAAAUUUUGGAUUUGGAUUCGGU
rnacentral:lncRNA from 1 species